GAUGAAGAACGUAGCGAACUGCGAUAAGUAAUGUGAAUUGCAGAAUUCAGUGAAUCAUCGAGUCUUUGAACGCACAUUGCGCCCCCUGGUAUUCCGGGGGGCAUGCCUGUCCGAGCGUCAUUGCUGCCCUCAAGCCCGGCUUGUGUGUUGGGUCUCGUCCCCCUUCCCGGGGGGACGGGCCCGAAAGGCAGCGGCGGCACCGCGUCCGGUCCUCGAGCGUAUGGGGCUUUGUCACCCGCUCUGUAGGCCCGGCCGGCGCUUGCCGAUCAACCAAAACUUUUUUCCAGGUUGACCUCGGAUCAGGUAGGGAUACCCGCUGAACUUAAGCAUAUCAAUAAGCGGAGGA
rnacentral:misc_RNA from 1 species